CCAGUUUGAACCUAAAGGAGUUUUGUGUCGAGAAGCAGUGAAUGAUUGUGAUAUUGCAGAGAACUGCACAGGAAAUUCCAGCCAGUGUUCUCCUAAUAUCCAUAAAAUGGAUGGAUAUUCAUGUGAUAACAGACAGGGUAUUUGCUUUGGAGGAAGAUGUAAAACCAGGGACCGGCAGUGUAAAUAUAUAUGGGGUGAAAGUAAGUGA